ensembl:processed_transcript A530058N18Rik RIKEN cDNA A530058N18 gene
GCCGCUGUCGCCGAGCGUCGGAGCCCGAGGGGCCGCGGCCGCGCGCCGCGGGGGGAGGAGACGGUCUGGAGUCCCCCCGCUGCGCCGGAGAUGGGGAGACGGAGGACUGCAGCGCCCCUUGGGGCUUCUGAGGCGCCCAGGUAACCUCACCUGGCCGCCAGUCUCCCGCAGGAGGAACAGACACAUUGGUUCUACACCGAACCUAUUAACAGCUCAACUUCAAAUAUUUGGCAGAGGUGGGAUUGCAGUUCACUAAGGUUAUAUGAGCCAGCUUGGUUACGCAAAUGUGAAAAUGCACAUUUUCCAGCCUGUGGCAAGGUGGAAACAUCAGGGCAGAAGAACAUAACUGAUAAUAGCUGCUCACACCUAAGUAGCCAGGAAGCAGAGAGAAAUGGAGACCAGCCUACGAGGACACAUUCCUAGUGACCUUCUUCCCAACUUUGGGUUUCCACCAAUUCACAAGAACACCAUUAAUUAUGAAUUCAUCAACAAACCAAUUCAUCAAUUAAGUUAAAGCUCCCAUGAUGCAAUCACUUCCCUACAUCCUCCCGUCUGAACAUCCUCGCCAUUGAGAACCAAGCCUUCAACACAUGAGUCUGGGCACAAUAAGUCACAUUGAAUCCAUUGAAGAUGUAAAUUUUAAUGGUUGAAAAUGACUAGCAUAUUAUGUCUGUGAAAUUCAGUAAAGGGGAAUAUGGAAGAGAACGUGUACUAAAACUAAGGGUUCUAGAACGCAUCUGUGCUCUUCCUUUCAAUCUGGAGAGUGAGACAAGGAAGUCUUAAGUUCAAGGCCAGCCUGGGCUAUGUAGUGUAUGCUACCAUUGGCUAUAUAAUCUGACUCCAGCAUUACAAGAAGUAGAGUAAAUAAAAGAUAAAAAAAAAUGACUAUAGAAGUAUCAAGAUAUUAUGACUCAUUCAUAUGAUUUCUGCAAUUGAUUUAGUAUGGCAUAUGAUUUAGUAAUCAAAGUGGAUGAAGAUGAUAUAUAUGCAUUAAUAAGAAUAAGUAUGUGAGACUAAACACAGAAUGUCCACCAGACACUGGGCAGUAAUUAGAUUCAACACUUGUAAAAAUGUUCAACAGGAAGAAAAAAAAACUAUAACUUCGCUUUAUACUUGGAUAGUUACUUUCAGUCAUACGGGUAUGGAAUAAAAUGAAAGGAAAAUGCAGAUGGGAUCUGAAGGCCAGCCUUCUAUUAUACUAUUAAAUUGUAGUGCAGGAAAGAAGAAGAGUUUGUUGUAUUUGAUGUUUUCCGAGGUUUUGUUUUUGUUUUUGAAGCAUCUUUUGUUUCACAGAUGCUGUUAAAUGUUGAACAUGACACAAUAAAAAGAAACAGACAAAAGUCACUGUCCUUGUGGAACUAGUAUGAAGAAAAAUCAGAUGUUAAUAAAACAAUCAUUCACAAGA